rnacentral:rRNA from 1 species
UUAAGCGACUAAGCGUACACGGUGGAUGCCCUGGCAGUCAGAGGCGAUGAAGGACGUGCUAAUCUGCGAUAAGCGUCGGUAAGGUGAUAUGAACCGUUAUAACCGGCGAUUUCCGAAUGGGGAAACCCAGUGUGUUUCGACACACUAUCAUUAACUGAAUCCAUAGGUUAAUGAGGCGAACCGGGGGAACUGAAACAUCUAAGUACCCCGAGGAAAAGAAAUCAACCGAGAUUCCCCCAGUAGCGGCGAGCGAACGGGGAGGAGCCCAGAGCCUGAAUCAGUGUGUGUGUUAGUGGAAGCGUCUGGAAAGGCGCGCGAUACAGGGUGACAGCCCCGUACACAAAAAUGCACAUGCUGUGAGCUCGAUGAGUAGGGCGGGACACGUGGUAUCCUGUCUGAAUAUGGGGGGACCAUCCUCCAAGGCUAAAUACUCCUGACUGACCGAUAGUGAACCAGUACCGUGAGGGAAAGGCGAAAAGAACCCCGGCGAGGGGAGUGAAAAAGAACCUGAAACCGUGUACGUACAAGCAGUGGGAGCACGCUUAGGCGUGUGACUGCGUACCUUUUGUAUAAUGGGUCAGCGACUUAUAUUCUGUAGCAAGGUUAACCGAAUAGGGGAGCCGAAGGGAAACCGAGUCUUAACUGGGCGUUAAGUUGCAGGGUAUAGACCCGAAACCCGGUGAUCUAGCCAUGGGCAGGUUGAAGGUUGGGUAACACUAACUGGAGGACCGAACCGACUAAUGUUGAAAAAUUAGCGGAUGACUUGUGGCUGGGGGUGAAAGGCCAAUCAAACCGGGAGAUAGCUGGUUCUCCCCGAAAGCUAUUUAGGUAGCGCCUCGUGAACUCAUCUCCGGGGGUAGAGCACUGUUUCGGCAAGGGGGUCAUCCCGACUUACCAACCCGAUGCAAACUGCGAAUACCGGAGAAUGUUAUCACGGGAGACACACGGCGGGUGCUAACGUCCGUCGUGAAGAGGGAAACAACCCAGACCGCCAGCUAAGGUCCCAAAGUCAUGGUUAAGUGGGAAACGAUGUGGGAAGGCCCAGACAGCCAGGAUGUUGGCUUAGAAGCAGCCAUCAUUUAAAGAAAGCGUAAUAGCUCACUGGUCGAGUCGGCCUGCGCGGAAGAUGUAACGGGGCUAAACCAUGCACCGAAGCUGCGGCAGCGACGCUGAUGCGUUGUUGGGUAGGGGAGCGUUCUGUAAGCCUGCGAAGGUGUGCUGUGAGGCAUGCUGGAGGUAUCAGAAGUGCGAAUGCUGACAUAAGUAACGAUAAAGCGGGUGAAAAGCCCGCUCGCCGGAAGACCAAGGGUUCCUGUCCAACGUUAAUCGGGGCAGGGUGAGUCGACCCCUAAGGCGAGGCCGAAAGGCGUAGUCGAUGGGAAACAGGUUAAUAUUCCUGUACUUGGUGUUACUGCGAAGGGGGGACGGAGAAGGCUAUGUUGGCCGGGCGACGGUUGUCCCGGUUUAAGCGUGUAGGCUGGUUUUCCAGGCAAAUCCGGAAAAUCAAGGCUGAGGCGUGAUGACGAGGCACUACGGUGCUGAAGCAACAAAUGCCCUGCUUCCAGGAAAAGCCUCUAAGCAUCAGGUAACAUCAAAUCGUACCCCAAACCGACACAGGUGGUCAGGUAGAGAAUACCAAGGCGCUUGAGAGAACUCGGGUGAAGGAACUAGGCAAAAUGGUGCCGUAACUUCGGGAGAAGGCACGCUGAUAUGUAGGUGAGGUCCCUCGCGGAUGGAGCUGAAAUCAGUCGAAGAUACCAGCUGGCUGCAACUGUUUAUUAAAAACACAGCACUGUGCAAACACGAAAGUGGACGUAUACGGUGUGACGCCUGCCCGGUGCCGGAAGGUUAAUUGAUGGGGUUAGCGGUAACGCGAAGCUCUUGAUCGAAGCCCCGGUAAACGGCGGCCGUAACUAUAACGGUCCUAAGGUAGCGAAAUUCCUUGUCGGGUAAGUUCCGACCUGCACGAAUGGCGUAAUGAUGGCCAGGCUGUCUCCACCCGAGACUCAGUGAAAUUGAACUCGCUGUGAAGAUGCAGUGUACCCGCGGCAAGACGGAAAGACCCCGUGAACCUUUACUAUAGCUUGACACUGAACAUUGAGCCUUGAUGUGUAGGAUAGGUGGGAGGCUUUGAAGUGUGGACGCCAGUCUGCAUGGAGCCGACCUUGAAAUACCACCCUUUAAUGUUUGAUGUUCUAACGUGGACCCGUAAUCCGGGUUGCGGACAGUGUCUGGUGGGUAGUUUGACUGGGGCGGUCUCCUCCUAAAGAGUAACGGAGGAGCACGAAGGUUGGCUAAUCCUGGUCGGACAUCAGGAGGUUAGUGCAAUGGCAUAAGCCAGCUUGACUGCGAGCGUGACGGCGCGAGCAGGUGCGAAAGCAGGUCAUAGUGAUCCGGUGGUUCUGAAUGGAAGGGCCAUCGCUCAACGGAUAAAAGGUACUCCGGGGAUAACAGGCUGAUACCGCCCAAGAGUUCAUAUCGACGGCGGUGUUUGGCACCUCGAUGUCGGCUCAUCACAUCCUGGGGCUGAAGUAGGUCCCAAGGGUAUGGCUGUUCGCCAUUUAAAGUGGUACGCGAGCUGGGUUUAGAACGUCGUGAGACAGUUCGGUCCCUAUCUGCCGUGGGCGCUGGAGAACUGAGGGGGGCUGCUCCUAGUACGAGAGGACCGGAGUGGACGCAUCACUGGUGUUCGGGUUGUCAUGCCAAUGGCACUGCCCGGUAGCUAAAUGCGGAAGAGAUAAGUGCUGAAAGCAUCUAAGCACGAAACUUGCCCCGAGAUGAGUUCUCCCUGACUCCUUGAGAGUCCUGAAGGAACGUUGAAGACGACGACGUUGAUAGGCCGGGUGUGUAAGCGCAGCGAUGCGUUGAGCUAACCGGUACUAAUGAACCGUGAGGCUUAACCUU